CCUACGGGUGGCAGCAGUGGGGGAUAUUGCACAAUGGGGGAAACCCUGAUGCAGCGACGCCGCGUGGGUGAAGGAGCGUUUCGGCGCGGAAAGCCCUAUCGGCAGGGAAGAAGAAAGACGGUACCUGACUAAGAAGCACAGGCUAACUACGUGCCAGCAGCCGCGGUAAGACGUAGGGGGCGAGGGUUAUCCGGAUGCAAUAGGUGUAAAGGGAGCGUAUACGGCCAUGCAAGCCAGGGGUGAAAGCCCGGGGCCCAACCCCGGGACUGCCCUUGGAACUGCAUGGCUGGAGUGCGGGAGGGGCAGGCGGACUUCCUGGUGUAGCGGUGAAAUGCGUAGAUAUCAGGAGGAACACCGGCGGCGAAGGCGGCCUGCUGGACCGCGACUGACGUUGAGGCUCGAAAGCGUGGGGAGCGAACAGGAUUAGAUACCCGGGUAGUC
rnacentral:rRNA from 1 species